rnacentral:rRNA from 1 species
GACGAACGCUGGCGGCGUGCUUAACACAUGCAAGUCGAACGGAAAGGCCCUGCUUUUGUGGGGUGCUCAAGUGGCGAACGGGUGAGUAACACGUGAGUAACCUGCCCUUGACUUUGGGAUAACUUCAGGAAACUGGGGCUAAUACCGGAUAGGAGCUCCUGCUGCAUGGUGGGGGUUGGAAAGUUUCGGCGGUUGGGGAUGGACUCGCGGCUUAUCAGCUUGUUGGUGGGGUAGUGGCUUACCGAGGCUUUGACGGGUAGCCGGCCUGAGAGGGUGACCGGCCACAUUGGGACUGAGAUACGGCCCAGACUCCUACGGGAGGCAGCAGUGGGGAAUAUUGCACAAUGGGCGGAAGCCUGAUGCAGCAACGCCGCGUGCGGGAUGACGGCCUUCGGGUUGUAAACCGCUUUCGCCUGUGACGAAGCGUGAGUGACGGUAAUGGGUAAAGAAGCACCGGCUAACUACGUG